UUCCGGCUCCGGUGGGGGCCGAUCAUCUGGGGGAUUAUCGGAGUGGCGGCCGGGGUCGCCGCCGCGUUCGUUCUGUGGCGGCUGGCCGGAGG
rnacentral:tRNA from 1 species